CCUACGGGUGGCUGCAGUGAGGAAUUUUGCGCAAUGGGGGAAACCCUGACGCAGCAACGCCGCGUGAGUGAAGAAGGCUUUUGAGUCGUAAAGCUCUGUCAAGUGGAAAGAAAAUGUUUAUUAUUAAUAGUGAUAUGCAUUGACGGUACCACUAAAGGAAGCACCGGCUAACUCCGUGCCAGCAGCCGCGGUAAUACGGGGGGUGCUAGCGUUAAUCGGAUUUAUUGGGCGUAAAGGGCGCGCAGGCGGCUUUAUAAGUCAGAUGUGAAAGCCCGGGGCUUAACCCCGGAAGUACAUUUGAUACUAUGAAGCUUGAGUACGGGAGAGGGAAGUGGAAUUCCUGGUGUAGCGGUGAAAUGCGUAGAUAUCAGGAGGAACACCGGUGGCGAAGGCGACUUCCUGGACCAAUACUGACGCUGAGGCGCGAAGGCGUGGGGAGCAAACAGGAUUAGAUACCCUAGUAGUC
rnacentral:rRNA from 1 species